UUCAUUUUCCUUUCGUUUUCAAACGGAGAGUUGCCCAACUCUCUUUACGCCGGCCACCGUACCUAACAACUCCGGAUGUAACCACUAAAUCUACCGUCAUUCACAACUAAGAUUAACUCCAAUAAUGGCGAUGGCUUUAGAUAUUGGCUUGAU